rnacentral:tRNA from 1 species
GGGCUCUUAGCUCAGCAGUAGAGCGUUCCGUUCGCAACGGAAAGGCCGCGGGUGCGACUCCCGCAGAGUCCA